rnacentral:rRNA from 1 species
CCAGAAUAAAAGUAGUUAUAUUCUUCAUAACUCAAAGAAUUUGGCGGUUAAUAAUAAUUUCAGAGGAUCCUGUGUAUUAAUUGAUAAACCACGAUAGUUUUUACCUUAUUUUUAUUUGUAUAUCUCUAUUUUUGGGAAUGUUUUUUAUGGAUUUAUUUUCUUUUUGAUUUUUUCUAUAAUUUUAGGUCAAGGGGCAGUUUUAAUUAGGAUUAUAUGGGUUACUUUAUUUUUAAUUUAUUGUUUUUAUAACUUUUUUAAUUUUAUUUGGAGUAGGAUUUGAUAGUAAUUUAAAUUAAUUAGUUUUUAUGAAUAUU